rnacentral:lncRNA from 10 species
GAAUCUAUGAAGGGACAUCAUUUCUGAGCCCAUUGAGACUUGUAGUGAAAAACCAAGCAUCCCCUGAUAAAUAGGUAGUAGAAACAAACUACCUAUGAAAAUGCUUUUUGAUUUGUGGAUUUAUCUCACAGUGUUAAAUUUUUGAUUUGAUUCAACUGGUUGAAAACAUUCUUUAUGUAGAAUCUAUGAAGAGACGUUUUUGAGCUUAUCGAGAUGUAAGGUGAGAAACUGAAUAUCCCGCUAUGCAAAGUACAAACAAGCUCUCUGUGAAAAUGCUUUGUUAUAUGGGGAUUCUUCUCACUGAAUGGAUCUUGUGUUGUGAUUCACUGGGUUGGAAACACUUUUUUUUAGAAUCUAUGAAGGGACAUUUCCGAGGCCAUCGAGGCCUAUAGUGAACAACAGAAUAUUCUGUGAUAAAAACUAGAAACAACCUACCUGUGAAAACGAUUUGUGAUCUUUGGAUUCAUCUCACCACAUGGAACCUGUGUUUUGAUUCAGCUGGUUGGAAAAACUCUUUUUGUGGAAUCUACCAAAGGAUAUUUCUAAGCCCGUUGAGGCCUAUAUUAAAUUGAUUAUCUCAUGGUAAGAACUAGAAACAAGCUAUCUGUGAAAAUGCUUUGCAUUAGGUGGAUUCAUCUCAUGAAGUUAAACCUUUGUUUUAUUCAACAGGUUGAAAGCAUUCUUUUUGUAGAAUCUAUGAAAAGACAUUUCUGAGCUUAUUCUGGUUUAUAGAGUAAAACCGAAUAUCCUGAAAUAAAAACUGGAAACUAGGUUGAAAACACAAUUUUUGAAGUAUCUAUGAUGGGACAUAUCGAAGCCCGUUGAGACUUAGUGAAAAACAGAAUAUCCCCUGACAAAAAUUAGAAACAAGCUUUCUGUGAAAAUGUUUUUUGAUGUCUGUAUUUAUCUCACUGAAUGAAAAAUGCAUUUUGAUUCAAGAUGCUGGAAACACUAUUUUUGUAGAAUCUAUGAAGGGAUAUUUCUGAACUCAUUGAAGUCUACAGUGACAAACCGACUAUCCAAUGAUAAAAACUAGAAAUACGCUGUGAAAAAGUUUUAUGAUGUGUGGAUUCUUCUCACUGAAUUAAACCUGCAUUGUAAAUCAUCAGGACUGAAACCUUCUAUUUGUAGAAUCUAUGAAGGAACAUUUAUGAGCCCAUCGAGGCCUGUAUUGAAAAACAAAGGAUCCUGUGGUAAAAACUAGAAACAACCUAAAUAUGGAAAUGCUUUGAGAAAUGUGAUUCAUCUCACAGAGAUGAAUCUUUGUAUUGAUUCAUCAGGUUGGAAACUCUCUUUUUGUGGAAAAUAAAAGGUCUAAAAAGAGACAUAUCUGAGCCCAUUGUGGCCUACAGUGAAAAACUGAAUUUCUUGAACAAACGCUGGAAACCAGCUAUGUGUGAAAAUGCUUUGUGAUGUGUGGGUUUAUCUCACAAAGUUAAACCAUUGUUUUGAUUCAACAUGUUGGAAACACUCUCUCUGUAGAAUCUAUGAAAAAACAUUUCUGAGCUCAUUGAGAAGUAUAGUGAAAAACCACAUAUCCUGAAAUAGAAACUAGAAACAAGAUACGUGUGGAAUGUUUGUGAUGUGUGGAUUCAUCUCACCAAAUGGAACCUGUAUUUUGAUUCACCCAGUUGGAAACACACUUUUUGUAGAAUCUACGAAGGGACAUUUCAGAGCCCAUUGAGGCCUAUUGUGAAAAAUCAAUUAUCCCAUGGUAAAAACUUGAAACAACCUAUCUGUGAAAAUA